rnacentral:snoRNA from 1 species
AACUUUUUAAUUCCAACUCUAGGAUAGCAUCAUGCAAUAAGAAAAGUAUGACAGAGGUACCCAUUCCGUUCCCACCUUGAUCAGUAGCUGAAGAAUGGAAGACAAAGUGUUAAAAAA